GACGAACGCUGGCGGCGUGCUUAACACAUGCAAGUCGAGCGGUAAGGGCCCUUUCGGGGGUACACGAGCGGCGAACGGGUGAGUAACACGUGGGUGACCUGCCCUCAGCUCUGGGAUAAGCCCGGGAAACUGGGUCUAAUACCGGAUAUGACUCCAUGACGCAUGUUGUGGGGUGGAAAGCCUUGUGCGGCUGAGGAUGGGCCCGCGGCCUAUCAGCUUGUUGGUGGGGUGAUGGCCACCAAGGCGACGACGGGUAGCCGG
rnacentral:rRNA from 1 species